CCUACGGGAGGCAGCAGUGAGGAAUAUUGGUCAAUGGGCGCGAGCCUGAACCAGCCAAGUAGCGUGAAGGAUGACUGCCCUACGGGUUGUAAACUUCUUUUAUAAGGGAAUAAAGUGAGGCACGUGUGCCUUUUUGUAUGUAUUUUAUGAAUAAGGAUCGGCGAACUCCGUGCCAGCAGCCGCGGUAAUACGGAGGAUCCGAGCGUUAUCCGGAUUUAUUGGGUUUAAAGGGAGCGUAGAUGGGUUGUUAAGUCAGUUGUGAAAGUCUGGGGCUCAACCGUAAAAUUGCAAUUGAUAUUGGCAGCCUUGAGUACAGGUGAGGUAGGCGGAAUUCGUGGUGUAGGGGUGAAAUGCUUAGAUAUCACGAAGAACUCCGAUUGCGAAGGCAGCCUACU
rnacentral:rRNA from 1 species